rnacentral:ncRNA from 3 species
CAGGUCUGUGAUGCCCUU